ensembl:misc_RNA Y_RNA Y RNA
GGCUGGUGCAAGUGCAGUGGUGUUUAUAAGUAAUUGAUCACAACCAGUUACAGAUUCUUUGUUCAUUCUUCAUUCCCACUAAUUCUCUUGCCUAGCCUAAA